rnacentral:misc_RNA from 1 species
AACAAACUUUGCAACAUGAUAAUCCUCCAUUGGAUGAUUUGCUUUCCCUUUUACUAGGCUAAAGCCAUAUUUAGCAGGGCCCUGAUGGCUCCUGCCCUUGCCAGAGCUACAUGAAGAUCGUCCUCCUACAACCUGAUUAAAGACAGAAUUGAAGCAACAUAAAUUACCCAUAUAAUUCAGCCCCACCUUAUAGCCUCUCUCUUCCUCUCAACAUCUACUUCUCUUUCUAACCUCAAAAGAUUCAAAACCCAACAAAACCCCACCUCACAAGAUCAAUAAUUCCACGAAUUGCGCCAUCGAAAACAACGAUUAUGAUAAUCUGAACUAUAAGGGCCAACUCUAAAACCACACAAAAAUCCAAGAAAUGUCAAAACAAAAGAGAAUCAUCAACUGGGUAUUCAAGAAAUUCUCGUACCAAUCCACCAAUCACCCAAUUCUACAAGAAACCAAGUGAAAGAAAGAUAAAGAGUUGCCCACCGCCCAGGACUUGAAUUGCCAAUUCUCGAG